rnacentral:lncRNA from 1 species
UGGAGAUCCAGAGGCAUAAUCACGAGGCCGACCAGUGACUGGUCAUCAAUUGCAAGGUUUACAAUGUCUCCAGCUGGGCCGACAGGCAUCCGGGUGGGCACCAGGUCCUCAACCACUGUGCUGGGGAAGAUGCCAUGGAUGUCUUCAGGGCCAUGCAUCCAGAGCUUGACAUUGUGCAGUUGUACCUGAAGCCACUGCUCAUUGGAGAACUUGCCCCAGGAGAGCCCAGCCAGGAAAGACACAAAAAU